rnacentral:tRNA from 1 species
UCCUCCGUGGCGCAAUUGGCUAGCGCGUCCGACUGUUAAUGGCCAGCUAAGCUGCCUUUAAGGGAAUCGGGAGGUUGACAGUUCAAGCCUGUCCGGGGGAG